UUCUUGGUUUUGUUAAAAACCACCACACACACAAAACAAAAAGAAA
rfam:Podiceps cristatus contig12343, whole genome shotgun sequence.